UGUAACAUCCCAACUUUAAAUAAUAGAGAAAUAUUAAUUAGAGAUAAUUAUUGGAGACUAAUUGGAAAUAAGUGAACAGGAACAAGUGUAAAAGGAACAAUUAAAGGAUAAUUGGGAGAUAACUAGAAGGGCAAACUGAUAUUUAAACAUAAAAGUGGCACUAGGUUGGUGGACCUCACCUUUUCCAUUUUCUGAUAAAUCAGCCAACACAAGACACUUCUCAUCUUCUCCCUCUUUCUCACGUUGGCAGAACAACAACGACAACAUAGUUUUCUCUCUUCCUCACCACCAUGUUAAGAUUACCCAACUUCGAAUCCCACAUGCAAAUUGAUAAAUCAAUACCCAAGAGUAUAUAAAAGAUCAAGUGAGCUUUGAUUUCUUUUCUUUUUCUACUUGACCGAACUUCCUCUCUGUACAAUCAAACCUCACUUCAAGCACUUCAAGCUCAAGUUUUCGUCUAUUUUUGGGUUUCAAGCAAGGACUAGUCAUGGGGUUAAGUUUACAAGUGUUGAGAGAUCAAGGUAAGUUAGUAAUUUCAAUUCCCAUCUUCUUCCCUUUUGCUGAACCCUAAACCUCAAUUCGUAAUUGUUCCUAACCUUCCUUUUACUGUUCUGGACUGCACAAAAUUCUAUUGAGAUUGAACUAUGGAACAUGGAAGAACAAGUUUGAAGGAAAGAGGAGUUUUGGAAUAAGUCUAGGGAAAUUCGUGUUUUGGACAUGUCUUCACUGAAACGGUUUUAGCUUAAUAUCGAGGUCAGGGGACGAUUUUAAAGUGGAGGGUCUGAAGUUGAUUUGUGCAGGAAAAUCUGGACUGUUCGUGGAGUCUCGCCGAGCGAGAAGCGAGGAUAGCAGUUCUGUUCUGCUACUGCAUGUUGUUGUGGUUACUCCCUGCUGAUUCACGUCCAGUCUAUGCAUAUGAGCUUUUACCGAGCAAUGGAUGCAGUAAUGGGAGCUAAAGAAUAAGGAACAAAUCUUAGAGUUGAAACUCAUUGAAGGAAUUGUUCAUCUAAUAUCAGAUAACCAGGUUGAUCGCGAUGUCGUGGUCAGCAAGCAUGAAGACCCAGAUACGUGGAGUACGAUUUGGAGCCGAUGUUACGUUUAUCUUAUAUCUUGUAUAAGAUUCAGAUUAAUUAAGUUUAGUUGUUGGCUCAAAUUUGUAUUCACUUCUUGGAUUUUGUAAUCCUAUUCAUGUGUUUGAUCUUUAUGUAAUGAAAAUUUAAUGUUUUCCGAUUCA